CUAUUUUGCAGGAGAGAGCCAAGAAUUUAGAAUUCAUUAACAUGAGAUUAGUUCCUAUAAGUAGUA
rnacentral:tRNA from 1 species